AAAACUGCGCAGUGGCAAUAUCGUAACCAAUGAAGUUAAUCUGAGGUGCGAUUAUUGCUAGUUGAAAACUUGCUUGAAUGAAACAUCAAUUAAAAUGUGAAAUAAUGCGACAAUAUUCGUAAGAAAUACUCAAUA